CAGUUGACGGGAUUUGUGUGGUGCUUGCACCAUAUAAUGAGAGUAGCGCACUGGUGAGUAACACGUGGGAACGUGCCUUUUAGUGGGGGAUAACAUCUGGAAACGGAUGCUAAUACCGCAUACGCCCUGAGGGGGAAAGAUUUAUUGCUAAGAGGUCGGCCCGCGGUAGAUUAGGCAGUUGGUGGGGUAAAGGCCUACCAAACCUACGAUCUAUAGCUGGUCUGAGAGGACGAUCAGCCACAUUGGAACUGAGACACGGUCCAGACUCCUACGGGAGGCAGCAGUGAGGAAUAUUGGGCAAUGGAGGCAACUCUGACCCAGCCAUGCCGCGUGAGUGAGAAGGUUUUCGAAUUGUAAAGCUCUUUCGGGUGUGAAGAUGAUGACGGUAACACCAGAAGAAGCCCCGGCAAACUUCGUGCCAGCAGCCGCGGUAAUACGAAGGGGGCGAGCGUUGUUCGGAAUUACUGGGCGUAAAGGGUGUGUAGGCGGUUAAGUAAGAUAGUGGUGAAAUGCCGGGGCUCAACCUCGGAAUUGCCAUUAUGACUAUUUAGCUAGAAUGAUGCAGAGGAUAGCGGAAUACCCAGUGUAGAGGUGAAAUUCGUAGAUAUUGGGUAGAACACCAGAGGCGAAGGCGGCUAUCUGGGCAUUGAUUGACGCUGAGGCACGAAAGCAUGGGGAUCAAACAGGAUUAGAUACCCUGGUAGUCCAUGCUGUAAACGAUGAAUGCUAGUUGUUGGAGGAAUUCAGUGACGCAGUUAACACAAUAAGCAUUCCGCCUGGGGAGUACGGU
rnacentral:rRNA from 1 species